UACGGAGGGAGCGAGCGUUGUUCGGAAUUACUGGGCGUAAAGCGUAUGUAGGCGGCUUCGUAAGACAGAUGUGAAAUCCCAGAGCUUAACUUUGGAACUGCAUUUGUGACUGCGAGGCUGGAGUAUCGGAGAGGUUGGCGGAAUUCCUAGUGUAGAGGUGAAAUUCGCAGAUAUUAGGAGGAACACCGAUGGCGCAAGCAGCCAACUGGACGAUUACUGACGCUGAGAUACGAAAGCGUGGGGAGCAAACAGGAUUAGAUACCCGGGUAGU
rnacentral:rRNA from 1 species